CUCUUCCCGUCUUCUCACUCUUUUUUAUUUUCUCGUUUAUUUUCUCAUAAUCUUUUAAUUUGUCCUUGAAAUCAGACAUCUUUUUCGCACCAUAUAAAAUAGAUUUAUUUAAUGCCAUCUCGUCGACACCGUCAAUCACGUAUUGCAUAAGUGCGUCGUCUUCGACAUUUCCUCUUGCAGCAAUUUCUCUCAUGCGAUAAAAAUAUUCCAGAACAUUCUCUUUCGGUCGCCGUUUACUCUCGUUGAGUUGCAUGUGUAUCUGUUUGCUAUUUACCUUCGACUGAAACUCAUUCAACAGCGCAAACUUCAAUGUUUCCCAUGAGUUCAAAUGUUUUUCGCUUAAAACAAAUAAUUUGGCAAUGCCUUUCAAAGACUUCUUUGCAAAAAUAAGUUUCU
rnacentral:lncRNA from 1 species